GAUGAACGCUGGCGGCGUGCCCAAUACAUGCAAGUCGAGCGAACGGACGAGAAGCUUGCUUCUCUGAUGUUAGCGGCGGACGGGUGAGUAACACGUGGAUAACCUACCUAUAAGACUGGGAUAACUUCGGGAAACCGUAGCUAAUACCGGAUAAUAUUUUGAACCGCAUGGUUCAAAAGUGAAAGACGGUCUUGCUGUCACUUAUAGAUGGAUCCGCGCUGCAUUAGCUAGUUGGUAAGGCAACGGCUUACCAAGGCAACGAUGCAUAGCCGACCUGAGAGGGUGAUCGGCCACACUGGAACUGAGACACGGUCCAGACUCCUACGGGAGGCAGCAGUAGGGAAUCUUCCGCAAUGGGCGAAAGCCUGACGGAGCAACGCCGCGUGAGUGAUGAAGGUCUUCGGAUCGUAAAACUCUGUUAUUAGGGAAGAACAUAUGUGUAAGUAACUGUGCACAUCUUGACGGUACCUAAUCAGAAAGCCACGGCUAACUACGUG
rnacentral:rRNA from 1 species